AUGCAAUGAUGAGGGUAUAUUCUCAACAAAUCCUUAUAUUUUUUUCUACACAUCAUAGAGAGAUUCACCAUUUUGCUGAACAAAAGAAGUGAUUUCACUUUGCAACUU